rnacentral:rRNA from 1 species
GUGAGUAACGCGUGGGAAUCUACCCUUGACUACGGAAUAACGCAGGGAAACUUGUGCUAAUACCGUAUGUGUCCUUCGGGAGAAAGAUUUAUCGGUCAAGGAUGAGCCCGCGUUGGAUUAGCUAGU